UGCAGUAACGAAAACAAAAGUAUAAUCGAUCAAUGGCGAUUUGGAGAGCAGCAGGGAUGACAUACACAACAUAUUCGAACUUAACAGCGAAUAUUAUUAGGAAUUGCCUUAAGGAACCUCACAAAACUCAAGUUCUCUCUCUUUCUAGCGAGAACGUUCAGUACUUGCUUCCCAGAUGGAUCGACAGUACUUCUGGAAAACUCACCAUUCAUACAGACAUCCCAGAGGCUUCAACACGUUUCAGGAAACCCCCCCGUGCUCAUGGGCAUGCUUGAUGGAAGCUAAUUGUUGUUAUUUGGAACCUUUCCGGAGUUUUAGAUUUAUUCUGUUUUCUUUCUUUUUUGGCCUUCAUGUGUGUGGCAGAUGCACUGAAUUACGGUUUAACUCUGAAUUACCAAAGGCCUCCUUCAUAUAGGUUAACACAAAAGAAAGUAUGUAAAAUGGGAAGCUGUGGAGUUAUGAUGUAGUUGAAAAUCAAGUUAUACUUUCAUGAAAUCACAGCUUUCCCUACCCUAAAAAAUUUACCCUUUCACCUCAUUAGAAUAUCAUACUACUGCUGUCAAUAAGAUUACAAAAUGAUAUAGCAUGUGUUUGGAAUACCGGUGGAAAGCUCAAAAAAGCACUUUUAGGCAAAAGCUGGAAUUUCCAGCUUCAUAAAAUCACAGUAAAAGUGAUAUUGGGUAGCGUGCACCGUGAAAAAAACGUACACUGCUAUAAAGCAGGUCAUUAUCAUUAUUAGUUUCUGAAUGGAAAAAUGUUUUUCCCUUUAAAUUGAAUGAAUUGGAGAAUCUUUAGGUUCAUAAUCUGUGUGAGGGGGGGGUAGAAGAUAAGGAAAUUUGUAUAAAAUAAAAGAGAGUAGGAGCUAGAACCAGCUAGAUUUUCUUAAAUAAUGAAAUGUCUAUGAUGUUUUCAGGA